rnacentral:rRNA from 2 species
ACUAUCGUUAACUGAAUACAUAGGUUAACGAGGCGAACCGGGGGAACUGAAACAUCUAAGUACCCCGAGGAAAAGAAAUCAACCGAGAUUCCCCCAGUAGCGGCGAGCGAACGGGGAGCAGCCCAGAGUCUGAAUCAGCUUGUGUGUUAGUGGAACGGUCUGGAAAGUCCGACGGUACAGGGUGAUAGUCCCGUACACCAAAAUGCACAGGUUGUGAACUCGAAGAGUAGGGCGGGACACGUGGUAUCCUGUCUGAAUAUGGGGGGACCAUCCUCCAAGGCUAAAUACUCCUGACUGACCGAUAGUGAACCAGUACCGUGAGGGAAAGGCGAAAAGAACCCCGGCGAGGGGAGUGAAAAAGAACCUGAAACCGUGUACGUACAAGCAGUGGGAGCACCUUCGGGUGUGACUGCGUACCUUUUGUAUAAUGGGUCAGCGACUUAUAUUCUGUAGCAAGGUUAACCGUAUAGGGGAGCCGCAGGGAAACCGAGUCUUAACUGGGCGUUAAGUUGCAGGGUAUAGACCCGAAACCCGGUGAUCUAGCCAUGGGCAGGUUGAAGGUUGGGUAACACUAACUGGAGGACCGAACCGACUAAUGUUGAAAAAUUAGCGGAUGACUUGUGGCUGGGGGUGAAAGGCCAAUCAAACCGGGAGAUAGCUGGUUCUCCCCGAAAGCUAUUUAGGUAGCGCCUCGUGAAUUCAUCUUCGGGGGUAGAGCACUGUUUCGGCUAGGGGGUCAUCCCGACUUACCAACCCGAUGCAAACUACGAAUACCGAAGAAUGUUAUCACGGGAGACACACGGCGGGUGCUAACGUCCGUCGUGAAGAGGGAAACAACCCAGACCGCCAGCUAAGGUCCCAAAGUCAUGGUUAAGUGGGAAACGAUGUGGGAAGGCACAGACAGCCAGGAUGUUGGCUUAGAAGCAGCCAUCAUUUAAAGAAAGCGUAAUAGCUCACUGGUCGAGUCGGCCUGCGCGGAAGAUGUAACGGGGCUAAACCAUGCACCGAAGCUGCGGCAGCGACACUAUGUGUUGUUGGGUAGGGGAGCGUUCUGUAAGCCUGCGAAGGUGACCUGUGAGGGUUGCUGGAGGUAUCAGAAGUGCGAAUGCUGACAUAAGUAACGAUAAAGCGGGUGAAAAGCCCGCUCGCCGGAAGACCAAGGGUUCCUGUCCAACGUUAAUCGGGGCAGGGUGAGUCGACCCCUAAGGCGAGGCCGAAAGGCGUAGUCGAUGGGAAACAGGUUAAUAUUCCUGUACUUGGUGUUACUGCGAAGGGGGGACGGAGAAGGCUAUGUUAGCCGGGCGACGGUUGUCCCGGUUUAAGCAUGUAGGCUGGUUAUCCAGGCAAAUCCGGAUAAUCAAGGCUGAGGUGUGAUGACGAGGCACUACGGUGCUGAAGUAACAAAUGCCCUGCUUCCAGGAAAAGCCUCUAAGCAUCAGGUAACAUCAAAUCGUACCCCAAACCGACACAGGUGGUCAGGUAGAGAAUACCAAGGCGCUUGAGAGAACUCGGGUGAAGGAACUAGGCAAAAUGGUGCCGUAACUUCGGGAGAAGGCACGCUGGUGUGUAGGUGAAGCCCCUGCGGGUGGAGCUGAGACCAGUCGAAGAUACCAGCUGGCUGCAACUGUUUAUUAAAAACACAGCACUGUGCAAACACGAAAGUGGACGUAUACGGUGUGACGCCUGCCCGGUGCCGGAAGGUUAAUUGAUGGGGUUAUCCGUAAGGAGAAGCUCUUGAUCGAAGCCCCGGUAAACGGCGGCCGUAACUAUAACGGUCCUAAGGUAGCGAAAUUCCUUGUCGGGUAAGUUCCGACCUGCACGAAUGGCGUAAUGAUGGCCAGGCUGUCUCCACCCGAGACUCAGUGAAAUUGAACUCGCUGUGAAGAUGCAGUGUACCCGCGGCAAGACGGAAAGACCCCGUGAACCUUUACUAUAGCUUGACACUGAACAUUGAGCCUUGAUGUGUAGGAUAGGUGGGAGGCUUUGAAGCGUGGACGCCAGUCUGCGUGGAGCCAACCUUGAAAUACCACCCUUUAAUGUUUGAUGUUCUAACGUUGGCCCCUUACCGGGGUUGCGGACAGUGUCUGGUGGGUAGUUUGACUGGGGCGGUCUCCUCCCAAAGCGUAACGGAGGAGCACGAAGGUUAGCUAAUCCUGGUCGGACAUCAGGAGGUUAGUGCAAUGGCAUAAGCUAGCUUGACUGCGAGCGUGACGGCGCGAGCAGGUGCGAAAGCAGGUCAUAGUGAUCCGGUGGUUCUGAAUGGAAGGGCCAUCGCUCAACGGAUAAAAGGUACUCCGGGGAUAACAGGCUGAUACCGCCCAAGAGUUCAUAUCGACGGCGGUGUUUGGCACCUCGAUGUCGGCUCAUCACAUCCUGGGGCUGAAGUAGGUCCCAAGGGUAUGGCUGUUCGCCAUUUAAAGUGGUACGCGAGCUGGGUUUAGAACGUCGUGAGACAGUUCGGUCCCUAUCUGCCGUGGGCGCUGGAGAAUUGAGGGGGGCUGCUCCUAGUACGAGAGGACCGGAGUGGACGCAUCACUGGUGUUCGGGUUGUCAUGCCAAUGGCACUGCCCGGUAGCUAAAUGCGGAAGAGAUAAGUGCUGAAAGCAUCUAAGCACGAAACUUGCCCCGAGAUGAGUUCUCCCUGAGACUUUAAGUCUCCUGAAGGAACGUUGAAGACGACGACGUUGAUAGGCCGGGUGUGUAAGCGCAGCGAUGCGUUGAGCUAACCGGUACUAAUGAACCGUGAGGCUUAACC